GGUUAGCCAGGCAUGAAUGCAUGUCAGGCUGCCCGCCAAUUAAGCAGGCCAAUCCAUCAAGGGUUAAGCAUGCAGAGCGUACGGUUUCAGUGUUCUCUGCAUGGUCCUAGUGCCCUGAGCAUACUCCAAACUAAUGAUGUGCUUGUGCUAUGCCUUUUGAGGAUAGUUUCCUGGUGUCUCCAAAAGUAGGACACAAGGGAACAUGGUCAGGAC